rnacentral:rRNA from 1 species
AAUAUUGCACAAUGGGCGAAAGCCUGAUGCAGCAACGCCGCGCGAGUGAUGAAGGCAUUCGGGUCGUAAAGCUCUUUGAUCAGGGAUGAUAAUGACAGUACCUGAAAAACAAGCCACGGCUAACUACGUGCCAGCAGCCGCGGCAAUACGUAGGAUGCGUGCGUUGUCCGGAAGUACUGGGCGUAAAGGAUGCGUAGGUGGAUAUUUAAGUGGGAUGUGAAAUCCCCGGGCUCAACCCGGGAACUGCAUUCCAAACUGGAAAUCUAGAGUGCAGGAGAGGAAAGCGGAAUUCCUAGUGUAGCGGUGAAAAGAGUAGAUAUUAGGAGGAACACCAGUGGCGAAGGCGGCUUUCUGGACUGUAACUGACACUGAGGCAUGAAAGCGUGGGUAGCAAACAGG